rnacentral:rRNA from 1 species
CCUACGGGUGACAGCAGUGAGGAAUAUUGGUCAAUGGACGAGAGUCUGAACCAGCCAAGUAGCGUGAAGGAUGACUGCCCUCUGGGUUGUAAACUUCUUUUAUAAUGGAAUAAAACGCGGCACGUGUGCCUUUUUUCAUGUACUUUAUGAAUAAGGAUCGGCUAACUCCGUGCAAGCAGCCGCGGUAAUACGGAGGAUCCGAGCGUUAUCCGGAUUUAUUGGGUUAAAAGGGAGCGUAGAUGGGUUGUUAAGUCAGUUGUGAAAGUUUGCGACUCAACCGUAAAAUUGCAAUUUAUACUGGCAGUCUUGAGUACAGUUGAGGUAGGCGGAAUUCGUGGUGUAGCGGUGAAAUGCUUAGAUAUCACGAAGAACCCCGAUUGCGAAGGCAGCUUACUAAACUGUGACUGACAUUGAUGCUCGAAAGUGUGGGUAUCAAACAGGAUUAGAUACCCGGGUAGUC